rnacentral:rRNA from 1 species
AGUGAACGCUGGCGGCAGGCCUAACACAUGCAAGUCGAACGACAGCACAGCAGUAGCAAUACUGUGGGUGGCGAGUGGCGGACGGGUGAGGAAUACAUCGGAAUCUACCUUGUCGUGGGGGAUAACGUAGGGAAACUUACGCUAAUACCGCAUACGAACUAUGGUUGAAAGCGGCGGACCGCAAGGCGUCGCGCGAUUGGAUGAGCCGAUGUCCGAUUAGCUAGUUGGCGGGGUAAAGGCCCACCAAGGCGACGAUCGGUAGCUGGUCUGAGAGGAUGAUCAGCCACACUGGAACUGGGACACGGUCCAGACUCCUACGGGAGGCAGCAGUGGGGGAAUAUUGGACAAUGGGCGCAAGCCUGAUCCAGCCAUGCCGCGUGUGUGAAGAA